CAAACAUCAAGAGGAGCAAUGUCACAUAAUACCUCAUCGGUGAAGGGCUUGAUGAUGAAGGGAAGGUGACAUUGCUGGCUGAUGCGGAGAUCCUGUCCUUGGUGAAGC
rnacentral:ncRNA from 2 species